CUCUUCUCAGUACUUCUCUCUGAGAAGGAGAAGAAAUUCUCCCCUUCUUCUGAUCUUCAUCUUCUCUGUUAUCAAACGAUUAAAAGUUCAAACCGUAUUACUUCGUCUGUCUCUUCGUUUUUAAUUCCGGUGUGAAGAAAAUUAGAAGAACAAUUCCGGUGCGAGUAGCGGCUUAAAGGAUUUUCUUCAUCUCCCACCAAACCUUCAUAGCGAGUAGCGGCUUAAAGGAUUCACUGCAAUCACCGCCAAAGAUUGAGACCAAUUGAGAGCAAUUGCCUGACAAGUAAAAUCAAGGUACAUUAUCAAAGGCAGGAGCCGCAGGACUGCAUCAAUUGCACAAGGAAGUGCCAACUUUGUCAGUGAUGGAAAUAUGGCGUCAUUUCACUCGGAGAAAUGUUGAAGAACCCUCUUGCAAUUACUGUGGAAGGACUUAUAGGGCUAACAUGUCCAGAAAUGGAACUUCUGCCUUGUGGAAUGCUUAGAAGUUGCAAUAAUGCUUAGAAGUUGUAACUUAU